rnacentral:lncRNA from 1 species
CAUUCAUUCACUAUUCAGUACUGAGGAGAGAACUGGGGAAUGCUUUACAUGGAGCUGCAUCCCCAGCCCUUUUUAUUUUUUUAAAUUUUGGGUCAGAAAGUUACUAAGUUUCCCAGGUUGACCUCAAACUUGAAUCCUCCUGCCUCAGCCUCCUGAGUCACCUGGGCAUAAUUAUAGGUAUGUGCCCAGCUUUUUUCUAUGUCUUUUAAAAAAACCAUUAACAUCUAAAUAUUUUGCACAUUCCCUGUUAUUUCUAUUCCUGGAAACUUUAGAGAUAUUUUAAUUUUUAUUAUGAUUUCUUGUUGGUGUCCAUAGUGUAGAUCUAGUUUGUAUUGGACACCCUUGCAGAGCCCCUUGUCAGCUGUAGGAGCCUGUGGUUCUGGGGGUUCCAACGGGUCUGUGACUGCUUAUUCGAUGGUACACUGAAGUCAGGUGCAUACCUGCAGCAUGUUUUCACCACUAACUGUCCUGGAAACUGUCCUGUGCUGACAGGUCCCUGUCAGAAAUGCAGCCAUCAUCUAUCCUCUGGUACUGCCCUGAGCACGCUGUCUGCACUGCUCUCUCUCCACCCGAAGAAUGACCCCAUUUGAUUUAUUAUCAUCCACACUUUUUUUUUCCAAUAAAAAGAGGCUAAGAAAGUAAGUUCUCUCCAGUUGCACAGUUAGAGACCGAGAGAAGCCCAGGCAUCUGCCCUAAAGCCCAGCCCUCUACAGUGUUGCUCAUCCAGGUGUGGAGCGGGGGCCUGGGUGCUGUGCUGGAUGAAGCCCAUAUUCGUUAUGCAUAGGCACACUUUCAGUGAAACAAUGUGUCCAUUUUUGUAAUUUUAUUUGUGCUAUGUUUAUUCUGAUUAUAUGUAUUCAAUACCAAGUUAAUAUAAUAUCCAACACAAAUAUAUAACAAAUAUACUUAUGUUGAUUCUAAUCAUAAAAAAUAGAUCUUGGCUUUUUGCUAAAAUCAAGUGUUGUUUCUAUUUUUCUGUUUCAUAUCUGAUAUGUCCUCUAUCCAAGGGGAAAAAAAUGUAAUGUGGCCUCUAAUAAUCAAUAAAAACUUAAGGGUUGAUAUCAAGCA